rnacentral:rRNA from 1 species
GACAGAGGCCCCGAGCGUUUAGGCGGAAUCACUGGGCUUAAAGCGCGUGUAGGCGGAUCGUUAAGUGUCUUGUGAAAUCCCACGGCUCAACCGUGGAACUGCUGGGCAUACUGGCGAUCUUGGGCCACUCAGGGGUUGCCGGAACAAGCGGUGGAGCGGUGAAAUGCGUAGAUAUCGCUUGGAACGCCGAAGGUGAAGACAGGCAACUGGGAGUGCGCCGACGCUGAGACGCGAAAGCCAGGGGAGCGAACGGG